GCUCUGGUGGAUUAGUGGCGAACGGGUGAGUAACACGUGAGCAACCUGCCCUGGACUCUGGGAUAAGCGCUGGAAACGGCGUCUAAUACUGGAUACGAGACGUGGCYKCAUGGUCAACGUUUGGAAAGAUUUUUCGGUCUGGGAUGGGCUCGCGGCCUAUCAGCUUGUUGGUGAGGUAAUGGCUCACCAAGGCGUCGACGGGUAGCCGGCCUGAGAGGGUGACCGGCCACACUGGGACUGAGACACGGCCCAGACUCCUACGGGAGGCAGCAGUGGGGAAUAUUGCACAAUGGGCGGAAGCCUGAUGCAGCAACGCCGCGUGAGGGAUGACGGCCUUCGGGUUGUAAACCUCUUUUAGCAGGGAAGAAGCGUGAGUGACGGUACCUGCAGAAAAAGCGCCGGCUAACUACGUGCCAGCAGCCGCGGUAAUACGUAGGGCGCAAGCGUUAUCCGGAAUUAUUGGGCGUAAAGAGCUCGUAGGCGGUUUGUCGCGUCUGCUGUGAAAUCCCGAGGCUCAACCUCGGGCCUGCAGUGGGUACGGGCAGACUAGAGUGCGGUAGGGGAGAUUGGAAUUCCUGGUGUAGCG
rnacentral:rRNA from 1 species